GUCCACGCCGUAAACGAUGAAUGCCAGCCGUUGGGCAGCUUGCUGCUCAGUGGCGCAGCCAACGCUUUGAGCAUUCCGCCUGGGGAGUACGGUCGCAAGAUUAAAACUCAAAGGAAUUGACGGGGGCCCCGCACAAGCGGUGGAGCAUGUGGUUUAAUUCGAAGCAACGCGCAGAACCUUACCAUCCUUUGACAUGGCGUGUUACUGGGAGAGAUUCCAGGUCCCCUUCGGGGCGCGCACACAGGUGCUGCAUGGCUGUCGU
rnacentral:rRNA from 1 species